rnacentral:sRNA from 1 species
UUAAGAUAAAGCCCAGUGCCAAGAAUAGGGAAAGCCGGAAAUGGGAUUGCAAAGGGUGGGUGGAUGGACCCUGAUCUGCGAGGUCCUCGCCACUAAACGCGGGCUUCACUGUUUGUCUUCUCCCGUGUCAUGUGUUGCCUUCUCUGUGGUUCCUGUCCUGUGGAAACGUGUCUGUCACUUCUCUGUGGCACUGCAGCAAUGAAGUGGGCACUAUGGAGUUUGUCUCCCUGAGCCAUGGAUGCCUGCUCCGAGGGCCCGUUGUCACCCUCAAAGCUCUCCCACUGCAGUGGCACAGGCGCCACGUGCGGGUGACAGCUGCCCCUCAUGGGCACUUAGCGCACACUAGGUAUGCCUCAGGGGCUUCCGUGUCUCCACGUGGUGAAGGCUUCCGGGCAGCUCUUUACAGGAUGCCUGACUGUGUCCCCACUGUGCAGAUGAGACUGAGGCCCAGAAUCAGUGUUCAUGGCAGGGCCAGACGGCCUCGGGUGUGUCCUUGGCACCGCUGGCAUUGAGUGGGGAUUAGCACUCCAGCAGUCUGACCCCCAAGCCCGUGCUCGCCCUGUUCGGCCUCCUCCUUAUGGGUUCUAGCUUUGGGGGUGGGACCGCCUCUCCGGGGGCAGGGCAGAGUGCAACAUGGAAUGAAGUGAUCAACCCAAAGUAUGCGAGUCAUCUCACAUGAGGAAACAGACAAGGUGGACUGGAGGAACCGUGUUCCCCUCUGGCGAGUGGUGUUCUGGCAUUUGUGCCUAGGUCGCAGGGCCGCCCUUCGAGAUGGCGCACUUUCCCUGGGGCACCUGCUGCGUGGCUUCUGAGGCCCCAAGCUGUCUGUCUUGCAGAGGUCCAGCACCCCAUCCUCGCCCACUGGCACGUCAUCCUCAGACUCGGGAGGACAUCACAUCGGCUGGGGUGAGCGGCAGGGCCAGUGGCUGCGCAGGAGAAGGCUGGAUGGGGCCAUCAACAGGGUCCCCGUGGGAUUCUACCAGAGGGUGUGGAAGAUCCUCCAGAAGUGCCACGGUCUCUCCAUCGAUGGUUAUGUCCUCCCAUCCUCGACGACCCGAGAGAUGACCCCGCAUGAGAUCAAGUUUGCUGUCCAUGUCGAAUCGGUGCUGAAUCGCGUGCCGCAGCCCGAGUACCGGCAGCUGCUGGUGGAAGCCAUCAUGGUGCUGACGCUGCUCUCGGACACGGAGAUGACCAGCAUCGGGGGCAUCAUCCACGUGGACCAGAUCGUGCAGAUGGCCAGUCAGCUGUUCUUGCAGGACCAGGUGUCAAUUGGCGCCAUGGACACCCUGGAGAAAGACCAAGCCACAGGAAUCUGCCACUUCUUUUAUGACAGCGCUCCGAGUGGGGCUUACGGGACGAUGACCUACCUAACAAGAGCAGUGGCUUCUUAUUUGCAGGAAUUGUUGCCCAAUUCGGGCUGCCAGAUGCAAUAGGGUCUCACCUGGAAACAUGGUCACACUCUCAAUCUGUCACGUGCCCCCUAGCCUUACUGGGAACCUUCUGUCCCCCAAGAUCCCCUGUGCUAUCAGGAAAGCAUGUCCCAUCAGAAACACUCUCGGGGGGCAAUGGUAGCACUCACCCUGAAACUGAUGUAUGUUAAAGCCACAGAGAUAGAGCUGAGGAGUCCUGUGUUCCCCCGCAAGGAGCACCCCGGGAUCAUUUUCUAGGUUCAUUUCUCUGGAACAUUUGCUGUAGCAUCUGGUCUCACGGACUCUGAGGAGGAAUUGGAAAUUGGUCUCUUUUGAGUGCAGAGGGAACUGAGACGCCAGCUUAAAUUGGCUCUUGCAGAGAGUUACAGAAAUAGUUUCGAUGAGCUAGUGACACAUCCUAAAGAUGCAAAGAUCCUCCCGGCGGCAGUAGCCUUGACAAGGGCCACCUCUUCACAGGAUGCAGUCUGUCUGUGCACCAAACUCUUCACCAAAUAGAACACUUGUGUCUCUCUGUG